rnacentral:rRNA from 1 species
GUUGAUAGGUCAGGUGUGUAAGUGCUGUGAGGCAUUGAGCUAACUGAUACUAAUUGCCCGUGAGGCUUAACCAUACAACACCCAAGGGGUUU